rnacentral:rRNA from 1 species
UAGCCGUAAAACGAUACUCGCUAGGUGUCGGCCACGGUGCGACCGUUGUCGGUGCCGUAGGGAAGCCGUGAAGCGAGCCACCUGGGAAGUACGGCCGCAAGGCUGAAACUUAAAGGAAUUGGCGGGGGAGCACAACAACGGGUGGAGCUUGCGGUUUAAUUGGAUUCAACGCCGGAAAUCUUACCGGGACCGACAGCAACAUGAAGGCCAAGCUGAAGACUUUGCCGGAUUAGCUGAGAGGAGGUGCAUGGCGUCAGUGACU